rnacentral:rRNA from 1 species
AUUGAACGCUGGCGGAAUGCUUUACACAUGCAAGUCGAACGGUAGAGGGGGCAACCCCUUGAGAGUGGCGAACGGGUGAGUAAUGUAUCGGAACGUGCCCAGUCGUGGGGGAUAASGUAGKGAAAAUUACGCUAAUACCGCAUACGAUCUAUGGAUGAAAGCGGGGGAUCGCAAGACCUCGCGCGAUUGGAGCGGCCGAUAUCAGAUUAGGUAGUUGGUGGGGUAAAGGCUCACCAAGCCAACGAUCUGUAGCUGGUCUGAGAGGACAACCAGCCACACUGGAACUGAGACACGGUCCAUCCGUG